UCGCUUCUCUUUGUUGAACGCCAUUGUAGUACGUGUGUAGCCCNANUCAUAAAGGGCAUGAUGAUUUGACGUCGUCCCCACCUUCCUCCGUUUUNNNAACGGCAGGCUGAAUAGAGUCCUGUUGCGUGGUGACUAUCCAUAAGGGUUGCGCUCGUUGCGGGACUUAACCCAACAUCUGACGACGCGAGCUGACGACAACCAUGCACCACCUGACUCUCUGUGCCGAAGNAAAAGCACAUUUCUGUGCU
rnacentral:rRNA from 1 species